AGAGUUUGAUCCUGGCUCAGAUUGAACGCUAGCGGGAUGCUUUACACAUGCAAGUCGAACGGCAGCACGAGAGAGCUUGCUCUCUUGGUGGCGAGUGGCGGACGGGUGAGUAAUAUAUCGGAACGUGCCCAGUAGCGGGGGAUAACUACUCGAAAGAGUGGCUAAUACCGCAUACGCCCUACGGGGGAAAGGGGGGGAUCGCAAGACCUCUCACUAUUGGAGCGGCCGAUAUCGGAUUAGCUAGUUGGUGGGGUAAAGGCUCACCAAGGCAACGAUCCGUAGCUGGUUUGAGAGGACGACCAGCCACACUGGGACUGAGACACGGCCCAGACUCCUACGGGAGGCAGCAGUGGGGAAUUUUGGACAAUGGGGGAAACCCUGAUCCAGCCAUCCCGCGUGUAUGAUGAAGGCCUUCGGGUUGUAAAGUACUUUUGGCAGAGAAGAAAAGGCAUCCCCUAAUACGGGAUGCUGCUGACGGUAUCUGCAGAAUAAGCACCGGCUAACUACGUGCCAGCAGCCGCGGUAAUACGUAGGGUGCAAGCGUUAAUCGGAAUUACUGGGCGUAAAGCGUGUGUAGGCGGUUCGGAAAGAAAGAUGUGAAAUCCCAGGGCUCAACCUUGGAACUGCAUUUUUAACUGCCGAGCUAGAGUAUGUCAGAGGGGGGUAGAAUUCCACGUGUAGCAGUGAAAUGCGUAGAUAUGUGGAGGAAUACCGAUGGCGAAGGCAGCCCCCUGGGAUAAUACUGACGCUCAGACACGAAAGCGUGGGGAGCAAAAAGGAUUAGAUACCCUGGUAGUCCACGCCCUAAA
rnacentral:rRNA from 1 species